UUAACGUGUAUGAAGAUACAGAAUGUCUGCUAUCAGAUUCACCAAUGGCACCGAAAUUUAAGGAGGAUAAGAUCGUCUUUCACAUGGAUCGUCAGAGUGUAUCAGUGAGUAGAAUCUACCAGGUUGAAAUGUGAUGGUGAUAGUGCCAAUUCUUAAUACCUGGAUCUAAACAUUAUUGGUAAAAAUGAUGGAUAAAGGUGUAAGUAUCUUAGAGGAUUCAGUCAACUGUUGACGCUUCAGCAAGUCCACAAUGUGACGCCAUGUUGGAAAAAUUAAUAGUCUUGUUCAGGCUUCAGAGGCAACAAUAGGCCUCUGACUGAACAAAGACCCUGAAAGGAGCUACAUACCGAACUGCUGGACUACAUGCAGGUCAGCAGAAACGGUGCUAACAAGUCUUGGGAACCAACAGGUAAGGAAGGGAGUAAGUCACGAAGCUUCCUGGGCCUUGGGAAUCUGGCCAAAUCCCGGGGAUCAGUGAGCAUCCUGAGACUUACGACUAGAGAUCAGAGCGUUUAUGAUAAUAGCCAGAGGGGCAUAUCUGCACGUAAGCUGAUGAUUAUCAGUGUGCAGCUUGGCAUUAAAAGCAGGACUCCUUCGGGCUGCACUCUGAACUCUCAUCCAUGGAGCGGGCACAACGCCCGGGACCUUCCACCUGGGACUCCAAAUUGCUGUUCAAGGGAUGUCACAGCGUUGCUCGCAUCUGGAUGGAGGUGCUUCCCCAAUUUGGUGAUGGUAAAUACAUUUCUUUCUUACUAUUUUGCUUAUCUCUGUGCUAUAACUAACGUAACAAGCUUUCUUCUUUCUUACUUAAGUGUUGAGGGGUUACUUUGCCAACAAACCCUCGGAACUUGAAACUGAAAGUAAGUCUUUCGGCAAAACACGUGACUACGAAGUAAUCAAAGGCAAUUCAAGCCAGACUUGGAGCAGUCUUCUCAUAUGCCUGCGUGCUGACUGAAGGAGUUGACUUACACAUCAUCUCACAAGCCAGUCUUCCUACAGAAAUCUGUUGCUGAGAUUCGUCAGACAUGGCAUUGUUGCAUACAUAUCACCCAGAAGAAAAGACAAAGCUUCUACCUAUACCAUCCAAUGGCAAUUGUGGAGUCCACAGGGUACUCAGGCUUGGAUGCUAGAAUUAGCUGCAUCAGGUCUGUAUGAUACUGGGGAAAGUACUUGUAUCAGUCAGAGUCCUGGGGGGAAAUAGAUGGCACUCUAUAUUGGGUCAUUUGGGAAGAUUUUGCUAUUUACAAAAGUGUGUUCACUGUUUGAG